rnacentral:rRNA from 1 species
UGGCGGCGUUACGCUUAAACACACUAGGCAAGUCGAAACCGGAAAGGACCCUUCGCGUUGGCAGGGUACGUCGACGUGGCGAACGGGUGAGUAACACGUGGGUGAUCUGCCCUGCACUUCGGGAUAAGCUUGGGAAACUGGGUCUAAUACCGGAUAGGAGCCAUCUUUAGUGUGGUGGUUGGAAAGUUUUUUCGGUGUAGGAUGAGCUCGCGGCCUAUCAGCUUGUUGGUGGGGUAAUGGCCUACCAAGGCGGCGACGGGUAGCCGGCCUGAGAGGGUGUACGGCCACAUUGGGGCUGAGAUACGGCCCAGACUCCUACGGGAGGCAGCAGUGGGGAAUAUUGCACAAUGGGCGCAAGCCUGAUGCAGCGACGCCGCGUGGGGGAUGAAGGCCUUCGGGUUGUAAACUCCUUUCGCUAGGGACGAAGCUUUGUGUGACGGUACCUAGAUAAGAAGCACCGGCUAACUACGUG